GAUGAACGCUGGCGGUCUGCUUAACACAUGCAAGUCGAGCGGAAUCUUUCGGGAUUUAGUGGCGGACGGGUGAGUAACGCGUGAGAAUCUGCCUUCAGGUUCGGGACAACAGCUGGAAACGGCUGCUAAUACCGGAUGUGCCGAGAGGUGAAAGCUUAAGUGCCUGGAGAUGAGCUCGCGUCUGAUUAGCUAGUAGGAGUGGUAACGGCACCCCUAGGCGACGAUCAGUAGCUGGUCUGAGAGGAUGAUCAGCCACACUGGGACUGAGACACGGCCCAGACUCCUACGGGAGGCAGCAGUGGGGAAUUUUCCGCAAUGGGCGCAAGCCUGACGGAGCAAGACCGCGUGAGGGAAGAAGGUCUGUGGAUUGUAAACCUCUUUUGAUAGGGAAGAAGACAGUGACGGUACCUAUCGAAUCAGCCUCGGCUAACUCCGUGCCAGCAGCCGCGGUAAUACGGAGGAGGCAAGCGUUAUCCGGAAUUAUUGGGCGUAAAGAGUCCGUAGGUGGGUAACCAAGUCAGCUGUUAAAUAGUGAAGCUUAACUUCAUAGAGGCGGCUGAAACUGGUUGUCUAGAGUGUGGUAGGGGUAGAGGGAAUUUCCAGUGUAGCGGUGAAAUGCGUAGAUAUUGGAAAGAACACCGGUGGCGAAAGCGCUCUACUGGGCCUGCACUGACACUGAGGGACGAAAGCUAGGGGAGCGAAAGGGAUUAGAUACCCCUGUAGUCCUAGCCGUAAACGAUGGAUACUAGGCGUUGCCCG
rnacentral:rRNA from 1 species